AAUACGUAGGGGGCUAGCGUUGUCCGGAAUCAUUGGGCGUAAAGCGCGCGUAGGCGGCCCGGUAAGUCCGUUGUAAAAGUCAAAGGCUCAACCUUUGAAAGCCGAUGGAUACUGCCGGGCUAGAAUCCGGAAGAGGCGAGUGGAAUUCCUGGUGUAGCGGUGGAAUGCGCAGAUAUCAGGAGGAACACCAAUAGCGAAGGCAGCUCGCUGGGACGGUAUUGACGCUAAGGCGCGAAAGCGUGGGGAGCAAACAGGA
rnacentral:rRNA from 1 species